ACGAACGCUGGCGGCGUGCUUAACACCUGCAAGUCGAACGGAAAGGCCCUGCUUUUGUGGGGUGCUCGAGUGGCGAACGGGUGAGUAACACGUGAGUAACCUGCCCUUGACUUUUGGAUAACUUCAGGAAACUGGGGCUAAUACCGGAUAGGAGCUCCUGCUGCCUGGUGGGGGUUGGAAAGUUUCGGCGGUUGGGGAUGGACUCGCGGCUUAUCAGCUUGUUGGUGGGGUAGUGGCUUACCAAGGCUUUGACGGGUAGCCGGCCUGAGAGGGUGACCGGCCACAUUGGGACUGAGAUACGGCCCAGACUCCUACGGGAGGCAGCAGUGGGGAAUAUUGCACAAUGGGCGGAAGCCUGAUGCAGCAACGCCGCGUGCGGGAUGACGGCCUUCGGGUUGUAAACCGCUUUCGCCUGUGACGAAGCGUGAGUGACGGUAAUGGGUAAAGAAGCACCGGCUAACUACGUG
rnacentral:rRNA from 1 species